AUGGAUUACUUCCAUGAGAUGAUCUCCGCUUCAUUCUUUCAACCUGUUUAUGAGGAAGACACUCCCACGUACUAUGUUAUGCAUGAUCUCCUUCAUGAUCUGGCAGAAUCACUCUCCAAAGGGAACUAUUUCAGAUUGGAAGCUGAUAAGGUGGCAGAAAUACCAUCCAUUGUUCGACAUCUAUCUAUUUGUGUUGAUAGUAUGACACAACACAAGAAAAGCAUCUGCAAGCUACAUCAUUUACACACAAUUAUCUGCAUAGGCCCCCUAAUGGAUGAUGUAAGUGGCCUUUUUGACGAGUUACUGCAGAAUUUGAAGAAGUUACGUGUACUAUGUUUGUCAUCUUACAAUAGUAGUAAGUUGCCAGAAUCUGUUGGUGAGUUGAAGCACCUUCGUAUUUGA
rnacentral:rRNA from 1 species